GCUGUCUCUUGUAUAGCUUUUGAAGUUUACUUUUAAGUGAAAAGGCUUAAAUGAUCUUGGGGGACGAUAAGACCCUAUAAAACUUUACAGUUUCACUUUUGCUUUUGUGAAUUAAGGUUUAAAAUUAGACAUGAGUGGUCUGUUGUGUUGGGGCGACAAAGAUAAAAAAAGUAACUGUCAGGAAAAAAAAAUAAAAAUAAUUAUAGUAGUUGAUCCUUUUGGUUAGAGAUUAAAAGAUUAAGUUACUUUAGGGAUAACAGCGUAAUUCUCUUUGAAAGUUCUUAUCGACAAGAGUAGUUGCGACCUC
rnacentral:rRNA from 1 species